UACAGAGGGGGCAAGCGUUGUUCGGAAUUACUGGGCGUAAAGGGCUCGUAGGCGGCCAACUAAGUCAGACGUGAAAUCCCUCGGCUUAACCGGGGAACUGCGUCUGAUACUGGAUGGCUAGAGAUUGGGAGAGGGAUGCGGAAUUCCAGGUGUAGCGGUGAAAUGCGUAGAUAUCUGGAGGAACACCGGUGGCGAAGGCGGCAUCCUGGACCGGUAUUGACGCUGAGGCGCGAAAGCUAGGGGAGCAAACGGGG
rnacentral:rRNA from 1 species